UUGGAUGUGAUUCAUAUCUUUGUCCGGGGCUCCAGAAUACUAAUCUAUUAUAAUAUAGUAAUUCUGAAGCGCGCGCUAUAACGUCGACAAAUCAGCCUUAUUCCUAUAUUAAAAUUUGCCACAUCAUGUUUUAAGCUGAUGUGUCAGCUCCCAUCUCUAAUAAGCUUGAAAACGUGACUAUCCAUCGUGACUUUUGUAUUCCCCAUCCCCUAACGUAAAACACCCCUUUAAGCUCCCUCUCAUGCUUUUACAUGGUCACUGCGAUAGAAAUCGUUCCUAGCCUUAAUACCCAGUUUUUCUUCGGAUAAAAAAAUGGCUACAACAACAACGACAUUGCUCUGUUCUCUCUGCACAAUGCACAGCCCACAAACGACGGUAGAUGUAGCCGCGCGCGUAGGACUCAAGUUUACGUCAUCCCAAUGUUUCUUACAGAUAUAAAGAAGGAGGCUCAAUAGUUCAUUUCUAUUCAGCAUGCAGGAUAUAAAGGAGACUCAAGAGUUGAUUCUUAAAUUCUAAAUGAAAAAUGAUUUGUUUUACUAUAAAAGGAUUUGUUUUGUAGUGAUUCAAUUUCCAUGUCUUAACAACGAUUAGUACAAUUAUAAAGAAUUUUACAAUAAAUACACUACAAAUUAUCUCAGUUGUAUUCGCCCGCGCAACGCGCGGGUCGUAGUCUAGUUAUAUUGAUCUUA